rnacentral:rRNA from 1 species
GAUGAACGCUAGCGGCAGGCCUAAUACAUGCAAGUCGAACGGUAAGGCCCUUUCGGGGGUACACGAGUGGCGGACGGGUGCGUAACGCGUAUGCAACAUGCCUUCCAGCGGGGGAUAUACCAGGGAAACUUGGCGCAAUACCCCAUAGAAUUACGGGACCGCAUGGUCUUGUGAUUAAAAACUCCGGUGCUGGGAGAUUGGCAUGCGUGACAUUAGCUAGUUGGCGGGGUAACGGCCCACCAAGGCGACGAUGUCUAGCUGGUCUGAGAGGAUGAUCAGCCACACUGGGACUGAGACACGGCCCAGACUCCUACGGGAGGCAGCAGUAGGGAAUUUUGGACAAUGGCGCAAGCCUGAUCCAGCCAUGCCGCGUGCGGGACG